rnacentral:rRNA from 1 species
UACGGAGGGUGCAAGCGUUAUCCGGAUUCACUGGGUUUAAAGGGUGCGUAGGCGGGUAGGUAAGUCCGUGGUGAAAUCUCUGAGCUUAACCUCAGAAACUGCCGUGGAUACUAUUUGCCUUGAAUAUUGUGGAGGUGAGCGGAAUAUGUCAUGUAGCGGUGAAAUGCUUAGAUAUGACAUAGAACACCAAUUGCGAAGGCAGCUCACUACACAAUGAUUGACGCUGAGGCACGAAAGCGUGGGGAUCAAACAGG